AAUAAAACUUUAUUGCAGGUUUUACAGGCUGUUUUCAGGCAGCUGUGGUCAGAGUGGAACUGCCAUCAUAUUGGCAGUGGAUGCCAAUAUAUGAUAUGUAAUAAAAAGGCAGUAACGGCUCGAUGUAACUGCGGACGAUAUAUCUGCCUAACAGACCCAUCGACUCUGUCUUGGUUUCCAUUUGCGAGCUGCGCGUGCGCGCCCGAACUUUCCAUAAAACUUCCAUGAAUCCAAAUUUCCUUUUGACUGGAACAGAUUUCUCUAUUAAUAUUUACAAGUUUCCACUCUAUCAACCUCAUAUCUCUAACUAAGAGUCAGAGCAUUCAUUUCACAUUAAAAGCAUAAGAACUGUUUGUUCAGUUUUCAUAAGCUUGCAGAAUUAAGCCGUUCUAAUCCCACACCACAAGUGCAGGUGUACUUUUUCCCUAUAUUUUGAACUUUUUCCUUCCCCCCCAUCAGCCAUCCUGUGCUUCUUUGUGAUGUCUUUGUUGCCUCUCUGCUCGUCAUCUGUUCUACAUUCAGUCAGUCAGCAGUACUCAGUAGUCAGUCUGCUCCCUUUAUUUUCUUUAUUUACCAUAGGAGGCCUGAGACAGCUCCGGUUUAAAAGAGACAAGCAGGCAGGAGGUUCUGGAUAUACCGUCCCCAGGCAACAGGAAUAUUCUGAGGUUUCUCCUGUGCUUCAACACACCCCCAUUUCAUUUCCUCACAGCCCUGCCUCCCCCCCUCCAAAAUCCAACCUCCCCCUCCCUCAAGACAACCUCUCUCCCCACCCCGUCCCCUCCCUCUGUGCCUCUCUGUGGCAGAUGGGCACUGUGUGUGACAGCAGGGUCAUCGGGUCACAUCCACAUGGGAUUUUCAGGUUUCCAGACUGACAUUAUUGAACUAGUGUGGGAUCAUCUUGACAGAUAAUGGAACAAAAGGAAACCAACAAGCAAAGAAGAGCUUUGAAUGCCCUUCAAGAAUCCUGGAGGACCAUUCCUGAAGGCUGCUUAAAGAAAUGACAAUAAAGCUUCGUAAGACAGUGUUGAUGAAUAAAGGUGGUGACUUUCACUCAUCAGAACUGUGCAAACUCUCUUCCUUCCUCAC